GGAAUUUUCCGCAAUGGGCGAAAGCCUGACGGAGCAACGCCGCGUGAGGGAUGAAGGCCUCUGGGCUGUAAACCUCUUUUCUCAAGGAAGAAGAUCUGACGGUACUUGAGGAAUAAGCCACGGCUAAUUCCGUGCCAGCAGCCGCGGUAAUACAGAGGAUGCAAGUGUUAUCCGGAAUCACUGGGCGUAAAGCGUCUGUAGGUGGUUUAAUAAGUCAACUGUAAAAUCUUGAGGCUCAACCUCAAAACUGCAGUCGAAACUAUUAGACUAGAGUAUAGUAGGGGUAAAGGGAAUUUCCAGUGGAGCGGUGAAAUGCGUAGAGAUUGGAAAGAACACCGAUGGCGAAGGCACUUUACUGGGCUAUUACUAACACUCAGAGACGAAAGCUAGGGUAGCAAAUGGGAUUAGAUACCCCAGUAGUC
rnacentral:rRNA from 1 species